GGGCUGCAGUAUUUUGACUGUACAAAGGUAGCAUAAUCAAUAGUCUCUUAAUUGGUGACUUGUAUGAAAGAUUGGAUGAGAUAUAAACUGUCUCUAAUUGAUUUAUAAAAAUUAAUUUUUUAGUCAAAAAGCUAAAAUAAUUUUAAAAGACGAGAAGACCCUAUAGAGUUUAAUAUUUUAUUUAGUAAUUAUUAAUAUAUGUAAUUUUAAAAAUUAAAAUUAAAUGAAAUAUUUUGUUGGGGUGACAAAAAAAUUAAAUUAACUUUUUUUAAUUGUAAACAUUAAUUUAUGGUUAAAUGAUCCAUUUAUAGUGAUUAAAAGAAAAAAUUACCUUAGGGAUAACAGCGUAAUUUUUUUUUUUAGUCCAAAUAGGAAAAAAAGUUUGCGACCUCGAUGUUGGAUUAA
rnacentral:rRNA from 1 species